GGCGGCAUGGCUCAGGAGGUAGAGCGGGCAGCCUAGAAAGCAGAAGGUUACCGGGUUCGAUUCGGCUCCUCCA